GUGCUCGUGGAAGGUGCACGUCGCAUUGCUAGAAUCAGCAAAGGAGCUGGUGUAGAACGCUAGUCCCAAACCAAUGAGCUUUGUGCUUGAGGGUGGAAGCAACUUUUUGAGGAGCAAACACUACGGUGAACACAUUCGGAUGUUGCACAAGCUAUUGUCAAUUGCGCUAAGGAUCCCGAUACUGCUGGUCAGGUUUAUCAAGCUGUUGGAUCAAAGCGUUACCAGUUGAGCGAAUUAAUUGAAACCAGUCAAUCGUGUUAUGCGCAAAAAUUAAAAAUGCGUUGUAUCCUACCUUCCUAUUGAAAGCCAAGUCGUUUGGUUGUACAAUUGACCUCCAUGGAAGAGCAAGUACCAUGGAAAUUGCGACCUUAUCGUGUUGCGCAAUAUUAUGAUGCCGAAUUGGGAGAGUGGGAGGAACCAGCUCCACCAAAAUCGAUAGAAGAACUACGUAUGUUUACAUAAAACUACUAUAAUGGCAACAACCAAGCAAAUAUUAAACAACACUCAUCAAAUGAAAGUUGGUGGCGUUGGUGGCCAAGCAGCGAUUUAAAAAGAAAUAUUUGCAUCUACGCGAAUUACAAUUCGUCUUUACAUCUAGUGAAUUAUGAAUAUGAAAGUAUAUAACUUAUCGCAGUUAUUUGUUUUUACUAUUGCAUUUAGUUUUACUUUGUGAACAGCAAAGCUGGCGGAACCUUUUUCUACCGAUUUUAUAAUUAUAACCACAAAUAAAAAGUAAAUUGUAACUAAA